ensembl:lncRNA
UAUUUGAUAAACAUUUUAGAAUCUAUCGACGAAGGCGUGAUCUGCGAGCAGCUGACCUGUUCCUCCUCAGAGAUGUUGAUUCAAUCAACGUUAAAACGCGGAUGAAAACAGUAAGAAUUACGAUCAACAUCGCCGAUGUUCGCGCAGUUGAGGGGGCUUUUUAAAUUUUCGCGCUGUUGUGAAGACGCAUGACACGUGACGACAUCAACACGUCAGAUGUAGUACCACCGAAUUCCUUUCAUACUACCCACACUCAUACUAUAUAGAACGUACUUUUUAACGGUCGAGUAGUACGUUCAAAUUCAAAUGUAGACCCAGUAAGCAGUAUGCGAUUUCGGACGCACCCUCUCUCUUCUGUACUCUUCUCUCUCCCUCUUCUUCUUCGGAGGGAAAAAGGGGGUUUUGUCAUGUGCCUCGGCGACAUCAUCUGAUUGGACUGCAGCCAAGUUCAAAGGCACUGACACCCUCUCAUCUGAUCACUCUGCAACAACUGCAAGUCAGACUAUUUUCUAACAAUGGCAUCUCCAACUUCUCCCCCGGCAUUUUUAAGGUGCAAGUGCGUGGACACCCGUCUUAACCGCCGUGCACUGUCCUACUGUACGAAAGGGAAAAAAUAGAGGUAGCGAAGGCUAAAACAGAGAUGGUCUGUGCACUUACUGAUGGAACAACUGUAUACUUACAUAAAAAAGAUGGGCUCGCCCCUGAAUUUGAGGAUGGGGUGAGUUACAUCUCACAGAAUUACACCCUGUCCAACACAUACGGACAAAUGUAUUUAUUUGUUGGUCCUGGACUGAUGAAGUGUAAGGCCGUGGCGCAGGACAUCAGCGAAGAGGCACAGAAGGCUGUAAAAGAGGCCCUGUGUCCACCUUCACCCAGCAUGAGCGGUGAAGAGGGACACAUAUUUUCAAGAGAGGCUACCUCAGCCUCCAAGGGCAGAUCAAAGAACUGCGUGGGGUGAGGAUGACACACUCACGUUCCCGUCCUGGAUCUUCACCUGAAGUGUGGUGAAAACGUUUUUGAGGUAUCGUUGUGGAGGGAUGAGGCUCUGCGGGACCUGUAUGCAGGUGACGAUGUGGUCAUUACUUUAAAUUAAUUAAUUUUAAAAAGUAGCCUGCUUAUAUAAUUUAAUAAAAAUGCACAAUUAACUGUGACGAGAUGAUUG